rnacentral:rRNA from 1 species
GAAAGAUGAAAAGAACUUUGAAAAGAGAGUUAAACAGUACGUGAAAUUGUUGAAAGGGAAACGAUUGAAGUCAGUCAUACCAACGGGAAAUCAACCUCUUGAGCUCGGUCUCGUGGGUUUUGAAGAGUUUCAAAGCCUUCGGAUUCGCGAGAUUGGGAUCUCUUGGUGUACUUUUUCGUACGGUUAGUCAACAUCGGUUUUGAAUGUCAUAAAAUGACUGGAGGAAUGUAGCUUCGAUCUCGUAUUGAAGUGUUAUA